UGGACUCUCGCUUCCCCCUCCAGGGCAUUCAGCCAGCUCCACCCACUUACCACUGGGCUGCUUGCUGACUGGCUGGUGUCCUGGGCCAAGUUGCUCAGGGCUUCUGGCCCUCCAUUGGCUCAUCUAGACUUGCAUCUAUUUCCAGGGACUGUCACAGAGGUGAAAUGAAUUCAUAUACGUGAAGGUGCUUUGUACAUGGCAAAACACUGUACAUAGGGUGGUCUCAAGACAGAACAAUGGGCAGUUGCUCUGCGGGCUCUAGAAGCAUGCCAGUCAUUCUCCCACCAGGAGGCUGGACGUGAAGGAGGUCACAGAAGAAAAUGUGGCUUGUUUUCCUGCUGUUCACCAACCCUAAGAGGCUUCAAGGCAAAAGGAGAAUUUGUGGAAAGCAGCAGCCAUGAUCAUAGCCUGGCUUCUUCAGAACCAACAGCCCAAAGCAGCCCUCCUCCCCCACCCACACCCCAAUU